rnacentral:rRNA from 1 species
UACGUAGGGGGCUAGCGUUGUUCGGAAUUACUGGGCGUAAAGGGCUCGUAGGCGGCCAACUAAGUCGGACGUGAAAUCCCUCGGCUUAACCGGGGAACUGCGUCCGAUACUGGAUGGCUUGAGUUCGGGAGAGGGAUGCGGAAUUCCAGGUGUAGCGGUGAAAUGCGUAGAUAUCUGGAGGAACACCGGUGGCGAAGGCGGCAUCCUGGACCGACACUGACGCUGAGGAGCGAAAGCCAGGGGAGCGAACGGG